UACGUAGGCAGCAAGCGUUGUUCGGAAUUACUGGGCGUAAAGAGUGUGUAGGCGGUGCUCCAAGUCUGGUGUGAAAUCUCCCGGCUUAACUGGGAGGGUGCAUUAGAAACUGGAAUGCUAGAGGAUGGGAGAGGUAAGCGGAAUUCCUGGUGUAGCGGUGAAAUGCGUAGAUAUCAGGAGGAACACCUGUGGUGUAAGACAGCUUACUGGACCAUUUCUGACGCUGAGACACGAAAGCGUGGGUAGCAAACAGG
rnacentral:rRNA from 1 species